rnacentral:rRNA from 1 species
UACGGAGGGAGCUAGCGUUGUUCGGAAUUACUGGGCGUAAAGCGCACGUAGGCGGCUUUGUAAGUUAGAGGUGAAAGCCUGGGGCUCAACUCCAGAAUUGCCUUUAAGACUGCAUCGCUUGAAUCAUGGAGAGGCGAGUGGAAUUCCGAGUGUAGAGGUGAAAUUCGUAGAUAUUCGGAAGAACACCAGUGGCGAAGGCGACUCACUGGACACGUAUUGACGCUGAGGUGCGAAAGCGUGGGGAGCAAACAGG